UUCUAAUCAAUAGUUUAAUAGGUAGUAAAAUACAGAGUACAAAUAAUGUGUAGAAAUCCAGAUACUGCGAUGCCCCUACUUUGUGUUCAUGAUAGGAAUUUGUUUUUUGCAGAAAAUUUAAAAAUACAUGUGUUCAACAAACCAAUUUAAUCAAAAUGCAACAACUGAUGAUUUAGGGAAUGAUAAACAUAUGUAGUAUUGGGAAAAUAAGUCAGAUGCUUAUUUGCAGCUGUUUUCUGAGGUUUCCAUUACAUCUAAUGGAAUAAUAAUCUAUUGUAUCUAACGGAAUAAUAAUCUAUUCCAUUGACAUGAAAUUUUAUGUCUACUUUCCUCCUCAUUCUAUCAUUUUUCCUUCUUAAAUGUAAAACUUCAAUAGGUUAUAAAUAACUAGCAUCCAGUAAAAGUCCACCCACAAAAACAUUCAUUUUUGUAGCCUAAGAAUAUUGUUUGGAAAAUGGUUUCUAACUGAAGGAAAAAGCUACCAGAAAAAAAAAAAAAAAUUUUUUUUUUUUACCACAACAACAAAAAUCUUUUGGUAAGGAUAGCCACGGUUAGGAGCCUGGACACUGGAGUUAUACCUACUUGAAACCUGGACCUGCUACUUUCCAGCUGACUGGCUCUAAGAAAGUUACUUAACCUCUAAAGAACCUUAGAUUCUUCCUUUGUAAAAUGAGGAUGUCACUGUCUCACAGAUGUGGUUAAGAUUAACAUUAAAAGAAGUAAAAUAUCGAGUACAGGGGCGAUCACAUAGCAGGCUAUCACCCAAAAGCGAUGGGUUGUUACUUCAGUAGCUCUGCAGACAGAAAACAGAUGCAGUUAUUAUAGAAAACACAUGAAUGAAGAGAGAUGGGGAAAGCCUUGACAUGUUAACAGGCACAGGUACCGCUAACAGGGAAUCAUGAAAAAAGGU
rnacentral:lncRNA from 1 species